rnacentral:rRNA from 1 species
CCUACGGGAGGCAGCAGUAAGGAAUAUUGGACAAUGCCCGCAAGGGUGAUCCAGCCAUGCCGCGUGCAGGAAGAAGGCCCUAUGGGUCGUAAACUGCUUUUACACCGGAGAAAACCUCCCUUCGUGAAGGGAGCUGAUAGUAUGGUGAGAAUAAGCAUCGGCUAACUUCGUGCCAGCAGCCGCGGUAAGACGAAGGAUGCAAGCGUUAUCCGGAUUCAUUGGGUUUAAAGGGAGCGUAGGUGGACUGAUAAGUCAGUGGUGAAAUCUUCGAGCUUAACUCGGAAAUUGCCAUUGAUACUGUUAGUCUUGAGUACAGUUGCUGUGGGCGGAAUAUGACAUGUAGUGGUGAAAUACAUAGAGAUGUCAUAGAACACCGAUUGCGAAGGCAGCUCACAAAGCUGUAACUGACACUGAGGCUCGAAAGUGCGGGGAUCAAACAGGAUUAGAUACCCUGGUAGUCCGCACUGUAAACGAUGAUUACUCGCUGCUAGGAGGCAACUUUAGUGCUUAGAGAAGACGAGUAAGUAAGUACCACCGUACGGGAGGUACGCCGGCGACGGUACGAACGUAAGUAAGUAGUAGGACGNGAGAGAGCGACGGACGACGACGACGGGAGGGAGGAG